AUUAAAAUAUAUUAGACAAAUGAUAAAAGCUAUCAUUUUUUUUUCAUUCUUUCUUCUUCAACCGUGGGAAAGAACUGAAAAUGGCAGCCAUGGAUGAGCUCCAUUCAGCCAAGCUUCUAUGGCUUAUAUAGAUGAUGAAAAUUGAGACUUGGACCUAGAACGGAAAGAAAUCGAUUUAUGGACGAGUAUGUCCUUUUCACCUUUGUGGUAUCGAGAGUUUCCAGGUUAGCUCGGGUUGGAGGCCGUCAGAGAUAUUAUCACCCUAUCGAGUUAACGUUAUCGAGUAAGUAAACUCAAGUGAUUCGAGUCUAUGGCAUGUAUAGGGUUUUAAUGUGAGUAUGUAAUAUUAUGAUUUAGCCAAAGGCAUUGGCUUGUUAUUAAGGUAGUAUUAGUCAUGUAAAUUGGCCUAUGUCGGCUAAUGACAUUAUGGGCCCAUAUGAUUAUUCUUAUGCAUGUAUGUUAUUAUCUCUUGUGAUGUGGCUUACAACAUGUAUGCCUAGAGAUUGAAUUGAGAUUCAUUGAUGAGCUAGUAACUAAUGCAGGAUUAAGUGAUUGGUAAAUAGUUAAUAA